rnacentral:tRNA from 1 species
GUGGUUGUGGCUCAGAGGUAGAGCACUGAUCUAGAACGUGUGAGGCCCUCAGUUUGAUCCUCAGCACCACA